rnacentral:misc_RNA from 1 species
AUGAAAUGAAGGACACUCUCUUUAGAGGUCCGACACAUUCAUUUUCCCACACUGUGCACCAUACUAUCUUUACACACAUUUUUAACUCGAAGUAAUAAGAAUGUAAUAGUCUCUUAAUUGAGCAUAAUUAAUA